CAGGCCCAGGCCCCCAGCGCUCCCCCUUCCGCUCCGAGCGGGAGGGGCUAGCGAGCAUGCGCAAUAAGGACCAGAUGAGCUGUUUGAUGUGAAAAGGGGCGGAUUUUCAUUUGAAAAGGGUGCCUUCGAGAACUGGAAGUGACAGAUAAGUGCCCUCUGUGUACCAAAAAGGAAUGUACUGUUUAUAGAGACUUCAAAUCAGCAGAAAAUUCAAAUAGUUAUAACUUUUCUUUAUAAUCCAUCAUGAAAAAGAGUAACGACAAGAAGCUGAUUCCUGCCAACUGCAUUUCCUGGGCUCAUUUAACCAUGCCCAGAAGGAAUUAGGACAAUGAAAGAUAAAAAGAUAAAGGAGCCAACAUAUCCUCUCCCCUUUGAUUCAGACGACUUCUCCACCAUCACCUUCUUCACAAUGGCCACUUUUCCUCUGCAGUUGGGGUUCUUCUUCCCCAGCAAUGGCUCCAGGACUCUGUUAACUCAGCUCCUCCCCAGUUCUAGAGGUAGACGGUAGAGGCUUCCUGCUAUUGUUACUCUGGGGUUCCCCUUCUUCUCCAGUUUGGCUUUCCAGCCCUUCCAACUCCUUUGUAACUAGUUCCUGGUAUCAAAUUCACUUAACUGAACUACCUGACUUCGGCCCUGAUGUUUGAGUGGACCCCAUCUCACACACUGAGGUUGACAAUACUUGGCAAGUUGUUAGGCGAAGAGCAAAACAAUAAUCAUAAUCAUAGAAGCAUUCAUGUAGGUAUUGCAAGGCUCACAUCUCCAAAAUGUCCAGUGGAGACAUGAAAUAAUGAAUAUGUUACAUAGUGACAGUCAUUUAAAAUUUUUCAAAAGCCAC
rnacentral:lncRNA from 1 species